GGUCCCUCUCACAGAAAGCAGCAGCUUCAGACGGAGCUGUCGCCUCGUCACACCCCCGGGGAUUGUGAUCGAGCGGUGGCCGGAGCAGCGUCACCGAGCCGCCGACAGCAACAGGCUCCUAUCCAUCCUGCGGCUGGCGAGCCCGAUCCAGUUCGUGGUUUGGAUCGGCCAGGCUCCUGGAUUCCAGUCCGGGACUUUCUCUUGCCCUCCACAAGGUUGAAGUUGAGGCGCUGUUUGCUGCACACUCUCUGCGAGUAGGUAACAAUUUCAGGUGCAAUUUUCCGGGUUCCCGUCAAGUCUACUACGUCCUUUUUUUUUAAACAGCUUCAAUGUGUUUAAUUGAAUACGCAAACUUAAGGGGAGGGCUGAGAGAGAGAGAGAGAGAAUGAUACGGUGGAACUUGCUUUCUACUGUUUUCGUGUGAAUUUUGCCGUCAACGAUUGACGUGAGAUUACAACACUUCUCAAUUUUCCCAUUGCACAGUGGAGCUACGCCUCCGAUCGGCUGUUUCAUUCAUUACAACCCGAGCAACUGCCCCUUCCUUUCACCAGCACUCAAGGUUCAAGACACAAAAGGAUAGUCAACUGGGGAAAUGUUGGAAAACAAAUCAGUUGUAAGCACACAAUCCAAGGCAACUCUCUAGUAAAAUGCCGCAAAUGUGCUAAGCUGAUCAAGGGACAUGGAACUAUCAGAAUCUAUUUCAUACAGAGGCUCUGGAAUAAGCUGGAAAGUGAUUCUGGAUGCCAUUAUCUUACCUAUGCGUGUGGUUGAACUUCUGAACAAGACGCCCUCCAUCUGCAAGCCGUAUCUGGAUACUAGUGGUUGGUUGCAAUUCAUUUACAUUAACAGAAGAACUUGCCUUUGCUUCAUUUUCUGCUUGUUGUGCUGGAGAAGUUGUAGUGACUAGCUGAGGUGUGGCACUGUGAACAGAAAACAAAAAUAGGGUUGGUUUGCCUAAAUUGUACUCAAAGCCUUUUAACAGUUGUAACAUAGUAGGUAACAGAAGCGGCAGAGGUCUAUGGAACAGACAAUAAUCAGCUGUAAAUGAAUAUGGUAUAAAAUACUUAAUGCAAAACAAUUUUAUGCAUCUUUUUAAUCUCGAAGUGUGAUCAUGGUCCCUGAAAAAUAAAGCAAAGUAAAGAAUGUUCAAAUGCAGACAUAAUCUCUUAGAGCAAAUCUAUACAGAUGUCAGAUACAUUUUCAAUAACGUGGUUGAUCUCAAGGCUAUGUGCCAGUUGAAACUAAGUCAAGACGACAGACUCAGAAUCAUGAAUAAUCCAUGGUCAAAAAAACAACAGCAGCCACAUUAAGAAAGAUCCGAAUGAGAGCAGUGGGCAUAUAUAGAGACACAAUGAAAUACGGUAAGACAAAAAAAAUUAUAUUUGCCUUAA